UACGGGGGGGGGCAAGCGUUUGUUCGGAAUUACUGGGCGUAAAGGGCUCGUAGGCGGCCAACUAAGUCAGACGUGAAAUCCCUAGGCUCAACCUAGGAACUGCGUCUGAUACUGGAUGGCUUGAAUCCGGGAGAGGGAUGCAGAAUUCCAGGUGUAGCGGUGAAAUGCGUAGAUAUCUGGAGGAAUACCGGUGGCGAAGGCGGCAUCCUGGACCGGUAUUGACGCUGAGGCGCGAAAGCCAGGGGAGCAAAGCGGG
rnacentral:rRNA from 1 species